GGAACUUGGGUGACCAGGCUUCAGAAUACAGACUGUUCUGGAUGACUGGAAGGAGACCUCAACUGAGCAGGAAAGAGCAAGUCACCCCCCGUGUUCCUGACAGGAAGUUUCAGACACAAUGAUGUGCUCAGAUGAAAUCAAAAUGAAAAUCCCAAACCACCUAUUUAAGACUUUCUCAUGGAAAAUCCUUGCUGUUAGCUCUGUUCCAAGUCACCUGUGCCCUCAAGCAGAUGCUGCUCAGGCCUUCCCUGUCAUUGCUGCUGUGGUCCCCUCUGCACGAGCCAAGAGGCUGUAACAGAGCUUGCAUAUCUCAC